rnacentral:rRNA from 1 species
UACAGAGGUCUCAAGCGUUGUUCGGAAUCACUGGGCGUAAAGGGUGUGUAGGCGGCGUGAAAAGUCAGAUGUGAAAUCCAGAAGCUCAACUUCUGAAAUGCAUCCGAUACUGUCAUGCUGGAGGUCUGUAGAGGGGUCUGGAAUUCUCGGUGUAGCAGUGAAAUGCGUGGAUAUCGAGAGGAACACUUAUAGCGAAAGCAAGACCCUGGGCAGAGCCUGACGCUGAGGUGCGAAAGCCAGGGGAGCAAACGGG